rnacentral:rRNA from 1 species
CACGUAGGGUGCGAGCGUUGUCCGGAAUUAUUGGGCGUAAAGAGCUCGUAGGCGGUGUGUCGCGUCGGCCGUGAAAACCUGCGGCUCAACUGCAGGCUGGCGGUCGAUACGGGCAGGCUGGAGUUCGGUAGGGGAGACUGGAAUUCCUGGUGUAGCGGUGAAAUGCGCAGAUAUCAGGAGGAACACCGGUGGCGGAAGGCGGGUCUCUGGGCCGAUACUGACGCUGGAGGAGCG